GCAUGCCUAUAACAUAGUGUUAAUGCACUGGAUCCCAUUAGAACUCCGCAGUUAAGUACGCUCAUGCUAGAGUAGUACUGGGAUGGGUGACCACCCAGGAAGCCCUAGUGUUUUACAUGCC
rnacentral:rRNA from 1 species